CCAGACUCCUACGGGAGGCAGCAGUGGGGGAUAUUGCACAAUGGGGGGAACCCUGAUGCAGCGACGCCGCGUGGGUGAGGAAGUACCCCGGUAUGUAAAGCCCUUUCGGCAGGGAAGAAAAUGACGGUACCUGGCGAAGAAGCCCCGGCUAACUACGUGCCAGCAGCCGCGGUAAUACGUAGGGGGCAAGCGUUAUCCGGAUUCACUGGGUGUAAAGGGAGCGCAGGCGGUACGGCGAGUCUGAUGUGAAAACCCGGGGCCCAACCCCGGGACCGCACCGGAUACUGCCGGACUCGAGUGCCGGAGGGGCAGGCGGAAUUCCUGGUGUAGCGGUGAAAUGCGCAGAUAUCAGGAGGAACACCGGUGGCGAAGGCGGCCUGCUGGACGGUAACUGACGCUGAGGCUCGAAAGCGUGGGGAGCGAACAGGAUUAGAUACCCCCGUA
rnacentral:rRNA from 1 species